GGUAAUCAUGUUGUCCGCACUGUUUAUUUUAUUAUUGUCACUUUUUGUAUGUACCGCGUAUACCUACGGUGGACACGAAAUAAUAUUGGACGGACGCUUUAUCGUUCGCCAUUUUUCGGUUUCUAUCGCCUAACGGCCAUAUCGGUUGUCGACAUUUCUUUCUUUGUUAAUACUUGUGUCGUCAUUUUCGUCUUACGUAUCCAGUGUGAGGCCGAGUCAUUGAGGAAUUUGCCGAGUAGUUUAAUUUUUUUGGUCUUCCGUGUGUCUUAUUAUCCACGUGUUGAAUCAAGCCGCUUUUUUUCUGUUUCCAUCAAAUAUUUUGAUUGGAACUCUCUGUUCUUUUGGUAAGUAUUUGACAUUGUUAUUAUAUUAUUAAUAUAAUUGACUUGUGGUUAGUACAGCGGUCAUCGUACGUCAAUCGAUUAUUAUAAUAGGUACUCUUAUAGCCUUCUAACGACAUAUGCAUUUAAUUAAUAUACUAUAUUAUUUUUAUUUAUUUAUUUAUAUUUAAUUGUAUAGAUUUUUAUUCUUAUAAAACUCUAAUUUAGAUUGCUAUACGGAAAAAUAUAAAGGGUUGAGUUUCGUUCAUUCUGAAUAUGUGAGGAUAAUUUAAAUGUGUUACAAAAAUCUAUUGACCCAAACAUCAUUAUAUUUCAAGGUUAUAUGUACGGAAAAUGAAAUGCAUAUAAUAGGUAUGCAU